AAUAUUGGACAUUGGGGGCAACCCUGAUCCAGCCAUGCCGCGUGUGUAAAGAAGGUCUUCGGAUUGUAAUGCACUUUAAGUUGGGAGGAAGGGCUUUAGGCUAAUACCCUGUAGUUUUGACGUUACCUACAGAAUAAGCACCGGCUAACUCUGUGCCAGCAGCCGCGGUAAUACAGAGGGUGCAAGCGUUAAUCGGAAUUACUGGGCGUAAAGCGCGCGUAGGUGGUUCAGUAAGAUUGAUGUGAAAGCCCCGGGCUUAACCGGGGAACUGCUUUCAUAACUGCUGAGCUAGAGUACGGGAGAGGGUAGUGGAAUUUCCUGUGUAGCGGUGAAAUGCGUAGAUAUAGGAAGGAACACCAGUGGCGAAGGCGACUACCUGGACUGAUACUGACACUGAGGUGCGAAAGCGUGGGGAGCAAACA
rnacentral:rRNA from 1 species